UGAGGAAUAUUGGGGCAAUGGGGGCAACCCUGACCCAGCCAUGCCGCGUGAGUGAAGAAGGUUUUCGGAUUGUAAAGCUCUUUCGGAUGUGACGAUGAUGAUGGUAGCAUCUAAAGAAGCCCCGGCAAACUUCGUGCCAGCAGCCGCGGUAAUACGAAGGGGGCGAAGCGUUGUUCGGAAUUACUGGGCGUAAAGGGUGUGUAGGCGGUUAUGUAAGAUAGCGGUGAAAUGCCGGGGCUCAACCUCGGAAUUGCCUUUAUGACUAUAUAACUAGAAUAAUGGAGAGGAUAUCGGAAUACCCAGUGUAGAGGUGAAAUUCGUAGAUAUUGGGUAGAACACCAGUGGCGAAGGCGGGUAUCUGGCCAUUUAUUGACGCUGAGGCACGAAAGCAUGGGGAUCAAACAGGAUUAGAUACCC
rnacentral:rRNA from 1 species